CCUACGGGAGGCAGCAGUGGGGGAAUCUUGCGCAAUGGGCGAAAGCCUGACGCAGCCAUGCCGCGUGAAUGAUGAAGGUCUUAGGAUUGUAAAAAUUCUUUCACCGGGGACGAUAAUGACGGUACCCCGGAGAAGAAGCCCCGGCUAACUUCGUGCCAGCAGCCGCGGUAAUACGAAGGGGGGCUAGCGUUGCUCGGAAUUACUGGGCGUAAAGGGAGCGUAGGCGGAUAGUUUAGUCAGAGGUGAAAGCCCAGGGCUCAACCUUGGAAUUGCCUUUGAUACUGGCUAUCUUGAGUAUGGGAGAGGUUAGCGGAACUCCGAGUGUAGAGGUGAAAUUCGUAGAUAUUCGGAAGAACACCAGUGGCGAAGGCGGCUAACUGGCCCAUUACUGACGCUGAGGCUCGAAAGCGUGGGGAGCAAACAGGAUUAGAUACCCUGGUAGUCCACGCCGUAAACGAUGAGUGCUAGUUGUCGGCAUGCAUGCAUGUCGGUGACGCAGCUAACGCAUUAAGCACUCCGCCUGGGGAUACGGUCGCAAGAUUAAAACUCAAAGGAAUUGACGG
rnacentral:rRNA from 1 species